rnacentral:rRNA from 1 species
UACGUAGGGUGCAAGCGUUAAUCGGAAUUACUGGGCGUAAAGCGUGCGCAGGCGGUUAUUUAAGACAGGUGUGAAAUCCCCGGGCUUAACCUGGGAACUGCAUUUGAGACUGCAUAGCUAGAGUACGGCAGAGGGGGAUGGAAUUCCGCGUGUAGCAGUGAAAUGCGUAGAUAUGCGGAGGAACACCGAUGGCGAAGGCAAUCCCCUGGGCCUGUACUGACGCUCAUGCACGAAAGCGUGGGGAGCAAACAGG